GUCCACGCCGUAAACGAUGGAUACUAGCUGUUGGGAGCGAUCUCAGUGGCUAAGCGAAAGUGAUAAGUAUCCCACCUGGGGAGUACGUUCGCAAGAAUGAAACUCAAAGGAAUUGACGGGGGGCCCGCACAAGCGGUGGAGCAUGUGGUUUAAUUCGAUGAUACGCGAGGAACCUUACCAAGGCUUAAAUGUAGAUUGACCGGUUUGGAAACAGACUUUUCGCAAGACAAUUUACAAGGUGCUGCAUGGUUGUCGU
rnacentral:rRNA from 1 species